GAUGAACGCUAGCGGGAGGCUUAAUACAUGCAAGUCGAACGGCAACAUGAUGAUAGCAAUAUUAUUGAUGGCGAGUGGCGCACGGGUGAGUAACACGUACAUGACCUACCUCUAAGAUCGGGAUAGCCCUGGGAAACUGGGAUUAAUACCGGAUGUGAUAAUAAGUAUAAGGAUUUAUUAUUAAAGUUGAGGCGCUUAGAGAUGGGUGUGCGUCUGAUUAGCUAGUUGGUAGGGUAAGGGCCUACCAAGGCGACGAUCAGUAGGGGGCGUGAGAGCGUGAUCCCCCACACGGGUACUGAGACACGGACCCGACUCCUACGGGAGGCAGCAGUAGGGAAUAUUGGUCAAUGGACGGAAGUCUGAACCAGCCAUUCCGCGUGCAGGAAGAAGGUCCUAUGGACUGUAAACUGCUUUUAGCAGAGAAGAAACGCCUUCAUUUAUGAGGGUCUGACGGUAUCUGCGGAAUAAGCACCGGCUAACUCCGUGCC
rnacentral:rRNA from 1 species